GUCUGAUCUAGUGAAGUCUGAGUUGAUUGUAUCGCAAUCAGUUAAAACUUUCAACAAUGGAUCUCUUGGUUCCGGCAUCGAUGAAGAACGCAGCGAAAUGCGAUAACUAGUGUGAAUUGCAGAAUUCCGUGAAUCAUCGAGUCUUUGAACGCACAUUG
rnacentral:rRNA from 1 species